UUAAUUACCGGUCUAAUGCUUUCGGCUAUUUCUCACGGAACAACGAGACUCAGGUUACUAGCGUUUUGAAACGUUAUUGACCAAGUCAGUAGGGGUGGGUUGGUGUAGAGAAAGGAAGAGGAAGAAAGUCAGAAAAAGCAGCCUGAGUGCGAAACUCAGAACUUGCUAACACAUCAGUGCUCAGCUAUCUAAUUCGAUUCUUUUUCGGAAGGAAAACUUGGCAGGUGUGAAUUUAAUAUGAAGCGUCUAUUUUCGUUUGGCGGCAAAGGACGAAGCCAAUGAGGGCUACCCACGAGAUACAGUCUAGAGGACAUUAUUUCAACAUUUCAGGGUCUGGAAGACGCUUAGGGUUCCCAUAUCCUCUGGAUGACUGAAGGACAUAGCAGUGGAUUCUGACAUGGACUGUGCAGAGGUCAAAGGUCAAAUCCCAGCGGAGGAACAGCUGGAGCCACUGGUUAUCCUCGAGGAAGGGGACGAGCUGGACGAUUUCACACAUAUCUCUGCGAGAGGGAAAGGCGUACUAAGAGUGAAGAAGGAAAACAUGGAAGACAUGAUUAAGGGAAGUUCGGAGGGAAGUACAGAUUCUGAAAACGAUGUGGAAGUGGAAAGUCAGCAAAAGGAAGGGCUGGAAUACAUAAACCAAAAGAUCGAGGGAGUGACAGAAACCGAGGAGAACCCAGAAGUGAAAAUAGUCCAAACCAGACCUGGAUUAGUGAUGGGGAAGGCAGAAGAAGAGAUGGAGGGAUUGAAGACAAAAGCAGUGCCUAAAGAAGAGUCACUUGCUGAUAGCCAGCCUUCUGCCAAACUACGACCCAGGGACCGACUCAGUCCUGAAGAUGCUCAGCAAAAGGUCCACAGAUUAUCCCCAGAUUCUCCUGACGCUCUCUACGAGCUACUUUGCGCUUUGCAAGAGGGCCGUCGGCUCAACGACCAGCGCUGCUCCUUCACACUGCAGCCACGCCGGAGGUGCCACUCGGAGCCUGGAACCCCACGCCACAACCAUAAAGGUGAGGAAGUUAAAGACCUAGAUUACCUUCUCACAAUUCCAGUUUGAUCGCUAUUAGUGCUUUAUUAAGUACAAUAUUAGUACUUAAUAGUACUAAGUUCUUUAUAGAUGUAUUUGGUAAAUGGCUGCACCAUGUAUCAUUCAAUAUUUUAGUGCUAUAGAAUGGUGAUGUUUAUUGUUACAACAUUCCUAAAAAUGUACUAUGUUACUAUUAUACUAGGAUUAUUAUUAUUACUAACUGUGACUUACUACAUAGUGGGCCUUUUCUGUAGUUUUUACUAAAAUGCUACUACAUUUCUCCAUUGAAAAUACUUACACUAAAAGUGUUAUUAU
ensembl:lncRNA